GGUUAAGCGACUAAGCGUACACGGUGGAUGCCCUGGCAGUCAGAGGCGAUGAAGGACGUGCUAAUCUGCGAUAAGCGUCGGUAAGGUGAUAUGAACCGUUAUAACCGGCGAUUUCCGAAUGGGGAAACCCAGUGUGUUUCGACACACUAUCAUUAACUGAAUCCAUAGGUUAAUGAGGCGAACCGGGGGAACUGAAACAUCUAAGUACCCCGAGGAAAAGAAAUCAACCGAGAUUCCCCCAGUAGCGGCGAGCGAACGGGGAGGAGCCCAGAGCCUGAAUCAGUGUGUGUGUUAGUGGAAGCGUCUGGAAAGGCGCGCGAUACAGGGUGACAGCCCCGUACACAAAAAUGCACAUGCUGUGAGCUCGAUGAGUAGGGCGGGACACGUGGUAUCCUGUCUGAAUAUGGGGGGACCAUCCUCCAAGGCUAAAUACUCCUGACUGACCGAUAGUGAACCAGUACCGUGAGGGAAAGGCGAAAAGAACCCCGGCGAGGGGAGUGAAAAAGAACCUGAAACCGUGUACGUACAAGCAGUGGGAGCACGCUUAGGCGUGUGACUGCGUACCUUUUGUAUAAUGGGUCAGCGACUUAUAUUCUGUAGCAAGGUUAACCGAAUAGGGGAGCCGAAGGGAAACCGAGUCUUAACUGGGCGUUAAGUUGCAGGGUAUAGACCCGAAACCCGGUGAUCUAGCCAUGGGCAGGUUGAAGGUUGGGUAACACUAACUGGAGGACCGAACCGACUAAUGUUGAAAAAUUAGCGGAUGACUUGUGGCUGGGGGUGAAAGGCCAAUCAAACCGGGAGAUAGCUGGUUCUCCCCGAAAGCUAUUUAGGUAGCGCCUCGUGAAUUCAUCUCCGGGGGUAGAGCACUGUUUCGGCAAGGGGGUCAUCCCGACUUACCAACCCGAUGCAAACUGCGAAUACCGGAGAAUGUUAUCACGGGAGACACACGGCGGGUGCUAACGUCCGUCGUGAAGAGGGAAACAACCCAGACCGCCAGCUAAGGUCCCAAAGUCAUGGUUAAGUGGGAAACGAUGUGGGAAGGCCCAGACAGCCAGGAUGUUGGCUUAGAAGCAGCCAUCAUUUAAAGAAAGCGUAAUAGCUCACUGGUCGAGUCGGCCUGCGCGGAAGAUGUAACGGGGCUAAACCAUGCACCGAAGCUGCGGCAGCGACGCUUAUGCGUUGUUGGGUAGGGGAGCGUUCUGUAAGCCUGCGAAGGUGUGCUGUGAGGCAUGCUGGAGGUAUCAGAAGUGCGAAUGCUGACAUAAGUAACGAUAAAGCGGGUGAAAAGCCCGCUCGCCGGAAGACCAAGGGUUCCUGUCCAACGUUAAUCGGGGCAGGGUGAGUCGACCCCUAAGGCGAGGCCGAAAGGCGUAGUCGAUGGGAAACAGGUUAAUAUUCCUGUACUUGGUGUUACUGCGAAGGGGGGACGGAGAAGGCUAUGUUGGCCGGGCGACGGUUGUCCCGGUUUAAGCGUGUAGGCUGGUUUUCCAGGCAAAUCCGGAAAAUCAAGGCUGAGGCGUGAUGACGAGGCACUACGGUGCUGAAGCAACAAAUGCCCUGCUUCCAGGAAAAGCCUCUAAGCAUCAGGUAACAUCAAAUCGUACCCCAAACCGACACAGGUGGUCAGGUAGAGAAUACCAAGGCGCUUGAGAGAACUCGGGUGAAGGAACUAGGCAAAAUGGUGCCGUAACUUCGGGAGAAGGCACGCUGAUAUGUAGGUGAAGUCCCUCGCGGAUGGAGCUGAAAUCAGUCGAAGAUACCAGCUGGCUGCAACUGUUUAUUAAAAACACAGCACUGUGCAAACACGAAAGUGGACGUAUACGGUGUGACGCCUGCCCGGUGCCGGAAGGUUAAUUGAUGGGGUCAGCGCAAGCGAAGCUCUUGAUCGAAGCCCCGGUAAACGGCGGCCGUAACUAUAACGGUCCUAAGGUAGCGAAAUUCCUUGUCGGGUAAGUUCCGACCUGCACGAAUGGCGUAAUGAUGGCCAGGCUGUCUCCACCCGAGACUCAGUGAAAUUGAACUCGCUGUGAAGAUGCAGUGUACCCGCGGCAAGACGGAAAGACCCCGUGAACCUUUACUAUAGCUUGACACUGAACAUUGAGCCUUGAUGUGUAGGAUAGGUGGGAGGCUUUGAAGUGUGGACGCCAGUCUGCAUGGAGCCGACCUUGAAAUACCACCCUUUAAUGUUUGAUGUUCUAACGUUGACCCGUAAUCCGGGUUGCGGACAGUGUCUGGUGGGUAGUUUGACUGGGGCGGUCUCCUCCUAAAGAGUAACGGAGGAGCACGAAGGUUGGCUAAUCCUGGUCGGACAUCAGGAGGUUAGUGCAAUGGCAUAAGCCAGCUUGACUGCGAGCGUGACGGCGCGAGCAGGUGCGAAAGCAGGUCAUAGUGAUCCGGUGGUUCUGAAUGGAAGGGCCAUCGCUCAACGGAUAAAAGGUACUCCGGGGAUAACAGGCUGAUACCGCCCAAGAGUUCAUAUCGACGGCGGUGUUUGGCACCUCGAUGUCGGCUCAUCACAUCCUGGGGCUGAAGUAGGUCCCAAGGGUAUGGCUGUUCGCCAUUUAAAGUGGUACGCGAGCUGGGUUUAGAACGUCGUGAGACAGUUCGGUCCCUAUCUGCCGUGGGCGCUGGAGAACUGAGGGGGGCUGCUCCUAGUACGAGAGGACCGGAGUGGACGCAUCACUGGUGUUCGGGUUGUCAUGCCAAUGGCACUGCCCGGUAGCUAAAUGCGGAAGAGAUAAGUGCUGAAAGCAUCUAAGCACGAAACUUGCCCCGAGAUGAGUUCUCCCUGACUCCUUGAGAGUCCUGAAGGAACGUUGAAGACGACGACGUUGAUAGGCCGGGUGUGUAAGCGCAGCGAUGCGUUGAGCUAACCGGUACUAAUGAACCGUGAGGCUUAACCUU
rnacentral:rRNA from 1 species